GCGCAGUUUCGGCAUAUUGAUGGAUUGCAGCUAGUUUUGUGCCGGUCUCGGGCGUAUCCAGACGUAUAUCGCGCAACGCGUUUCGUUUUAUCAUAGUUGUAUUUUCAAAGUUAGCAUUAUAUUCGAUCAUCAAUCGACUUAGUCGUAAUAUGCGUCUGCAGUGUUUUCUUAAUAAGUAAUUGUGCGUUUAAUGUGCAUAAAUGUUUUAUAUGCUUGCUUUUGAUGUUUAUAUUUCAAAUCAAAUAUUUCGGUUAUUGUGGGACGUGGUCGGUCGCUACAUCAAUCGGAAACCUAUCCGUGCUUGAUAUUUGCCGUGCCUUGGAGUCCGACGUGUUCUGCAUUGUACUUGCUGUACCCUUACAAUCUGAUGAGCGCUGCAUUGUACUUUCUUUGAUUAUCCGACACACUGGUAAGUUUGUAAACUUUAUUAAAUCAUAAUUAAUUACAUUUUAGUUUUAAAUCACAUGUAACGUGAGUACCGUAAUAACUCAAAAUUGACGCGUGCCGUCGGAUGCGUCAUCGGUUUCGCUGCAGACUUUGCUUUUUCGAUGUCAAUCAUCGAUUUAAUAGCGUGAACUUCCUUUGCUCGUAUUUUCUUUUGAUGUCAUAAUCCUCCAAUCGCGGAGACGUGUUUUAAUAGACAAUUUAAAUUUCUUCCCGCGUGUGUACAUGACUUGCCGUCGGCCGACACAUUUUGCCUUGCUUGUGGCGUAUUUGGAUAACACGUCGCAAAGAAAAUUUUAGGAUCGCAAUAAAAUUCAUAUUGAUGUUUUAUUUAUCUAUCACUCUACCUUUCCUACCUUUCCUGUUUUUAAAUUUACAUUUUUUAAAUUUAAAUUUUCAUUGAUUUUUCUUCUAGCUCCCAAUUCUUAAUUCAAAAUGUAGUUGUAGUUUUGUUCAGUCACCUUCUCGUGAAUCUAAUUCUCGGCAUCGAGAAUGUUAAAUUUUCUAAUUAAAUGUAGCUAUUUUCUUCUUAUAUCACCCUAUGUAUUAUUUUUCCUUGCUCUCUAAUGUAAAACUGACUAAAUUUAUCGUUUCCGGGUCGUUUUCUACUUAAAAUUUGUAUUUUAUUUUUAAAUUAAGGAAUUUGCUAUUUGUAACACCCUGUAUGUUUGUUUUUCUUGAUUUCCCAUUACAAGUUUUCUAAAUUUGUUAUUCCCGAGUGUUUUCUUUCAUUAACUUUUGAUUUUCUUUUUGUAGCACCCUGUAUAUUCAUUUUCUUUGUUGUCCGUGAAAAUUUAGCUUUAACUGUUGAUUUUAGGUUUUUCUUCUUUGCACUUUGAAUUUUCUAUUAGAAACACCCUGUAUAUUAAUUUUCCUGAUUGUCGAUGAAAACGAGCGACGUUUGACUGUAAACACUAGUUUAGAGUUUUUUCUUUUCACUUUAAAUUUUCUUUCUGUAACACCCUGUAUAUUUGUUUCCAUUUUCAAUCACCGGUAGUACUUUGCGAAGUGCUACUUACUUGCAUGUGCGCGACGAUGCAGGUCGUAAGUCUUGUUUCAAUAUGGCGGCAUGUAUUUUGUUGACUUGUAAAAUCAAAACUUGUAUUCUAUUCUUAAUAAAUAAAUAGUAAGAUA